rnacentral:rRNA from 1 species
GUCGAGCGGUAACAUUUCUAGCUUGCUAGAAGAUGACGAGCGGCGGACGGGUGAGUAAUGCUUGGGAAUAUGCCUUAUGGUGGGGGACAACAGUUGGAAACGACUGCUAAUACCGCAUAAUGUCUACGGACCAAAGGGGGGGAUCUUCGGACCUCUCGCCAUUUGAUUAGCCCAAGUGAGAUUAGCUAGUUGGUGAGGUAAUGGCUCACCAAGGCGACGAUCUCUAGCUGGUUUGAGAGGAUGAUCAGCCACACUGGGACUGAGACACGGCCCAGACUCCUACGGGAGGCAGCAGUGGGGAAUAUUGCACAAUGGGCGCAAGCCUGAUGCAGCCAUGCCGCGUGUGUGAAGAAGGCCUUCGGGUUGUAAAGCACUUUCAGUAAGGAGGAAAGGGAUGUAGUUAAUAACUGCAUUCUGUGACGUUACUUACAGAAGAAGCACCGGCUAACUUCGUGCCAGCAGCCGCGGUAAUACGAGGGGUGCAAGCGUUAAUCGGAAUUACUGGGCGUAAAGCGUUCGUAGGCGGUUGAUUAAGCAAGAUGUGAAAGCCCAGGGCUCAACCUUGGAACUGCAUUUUGAACUGGUCAACUAGAGUACUGUAGAGGGUGGUGGAAUUU